GGGGAAUAUUGGACAAUGGGCGCAAGCCUGAUCCAGCCAUACCGCGUGUGUGAAGAAGGCCUUCGGGUUGUAAAGCACUUUAAGCAGGGAGAAAAAGUUAUAAGUUAAUACCUUAUAACCGUGAUGUUACCUGCAGAAUAAGCACCGGCUAAUUCCGUGCCAGCAGCCGCGGUAAUACGGAAGGUGCAAGCGUUAAUCGGAAUUACUGGGCGUAAAGCGCGCGUAGGUGGUUUGUUAAGUUGGAUGUGAAAGCCCUGGGCUCAACCUAGGAACUGCAUCCAAAACUAACUCACUAGAGUACGAUAGAGGGAGGUAGAAUUCAUAGUGUAGCGGUGGAAUGCGUAGAUAUUAUGAAGAAUACCAGUGGCGAAGGCGGCCUCCUGGAUCUGUACUGACACUGAGGUGCGAAAGCGUGGGUAGCGAAC
rnacentral:rRNA from 1 species